UACGUACGAGGCAAGCGUUAUCCGGAAUUACUGGGCGUAAAGCGUGCGCAGGCGGCUUUGCAAGACAGAUGUGAAAUCCCCGGGCUUAACCUGGGAACUGCAUUUGUGACUGCAUGGCUGGAGUGCGGCAGAGGGGGAUGGAAUUCCGCGUGUAGCAGUGAAAUGCGUAGAUAUGCGGAGGAACACCGAUGGCGAAGGCAAUCCCCUGGGCCUGCACUGACGCUCAUGCACGAAAGCGUGGGGAGCAAACAGG
rnacentral:rRNA from 1 species